rnacentral:rRNA from 1 species
UCCGUAGGUGAACCUGCGGAAGGAUCAUUAAAGAAUCGCCCCGUUUUUUGAAAUGGGUUCUAUUCCCAAACCGUGUAUACAUACCUUUGUUGCUUUGGCAGGCCGCCUUUUAGGCGUCGGCUCCGGCUGACUGCGCCUGCCAGAGGACCCAAACUCGUUUGUUUAGUGAUGUCUGAGUACUAUAUAAUAGUUAAAACUUUCAACAACGGAUCUCUUGGUUCUGGCAUCGAUGAAGAACGCUGCGAAAUGCGAUAAGUAAUGUGAAUUGCAGAAUUCAGUGAAUCAUCGAAUCUUUGAACGCACAUUGCGCCCCUUGGUAUUCCGAGGGGCAUGCCUGUUCGAGCGUCAUUAUAACCAUUCAAGCCUCGGCUUGGUCUUGGGGUUCGCGGUCUCGCGUUCCUUAAAAUCAGUGGCGGUGCCGUCUGGCUCUAAGCGUAGUAAUUCUCUCGCUAUAGGGUCCCGGCGGUUGCCUGCCAGAACCCCCCAUUUUUUACGGUUGACCUCGGAUCAGGUAGGGAUACCCGCUGAAUUUAAGCAUAUC